AUUACCUACUAAAAUCACUAGCCAGUUGUGUCUGAGUUUGGGGAACCGACUAUACUAAUAAACAAUUUCUAAGCUGUUUUAUAAUAUUUUGUGAGUUCAUUAAUCAUAUUUUUUAUUUAAAACUAAAAUUUGUUAAUAAUGCUUAGUAAUGCAUAUAUUUUGAAUUUUUAGCUUUCCAGAAGAUCCUGCGAAGAAGGCAUGAAGUAUAGAUCAGAUUUGUUAAUAGAGGAGUAUGUUCAAAACACUUUUUAGAAAAAGAUAUUGACAGAACUUCACUUUCAUCUGUUCGUUUGAGAGACUGUGCUGUUCCAAUAGCUGAUGUCACACAGAAUCUGCUGAGAGAAGUGGUCUACAAAAAACCAGGAAGGAAAUGGAAUAUGUGGCUACGAAAAGCAAAAGAAAGGUUUACAAAGCAAAUGUGACACAUUUUUUUAUAAUAUUUAGGAAUGUCAGUAAAUUACAUUAAAAAAUGCAUGUAAAGAUUUUUUGCAAUAAAAAGUUUAUAUUUA
rnacentral:lncRNA from 1 species